rnacentral:rRNA from 1 species
UCAAAACUUUCAACAACGGAUCUCUUGGUUCUGGCAUCGAUGAAGAACGCAGCGAAAUGCGAUAAGUAAUGUGAAUUGCAGAAUUCAGUGAAUCAUCGAAUCUUUGAACGCACAUUGCGCCCUCUGGUAUUCCGGAGGGCAUGCCUGUUCGA